AACGAACGCUGGCGGCAUGCCUAACACAUGCAAGUCGAACGAGACCUUCGGGUCUAGUGGCGCACGGGUGCGUAACGCGUGGGAACCUGCCCUUAGGUUCGGAAUAACUCCCCGAAAGGGGUGCUAAUACCGGAUAAUGUCUUCGGACCAAAGAUUUAUCGCCUUUGGAUGGGCCCGCGUUGGAUUAGCUCGUUGGUAGGGUAAAAGCCUACCAAGGCGACGAUCCAUAGCUGGUCUGAGAGGAUGAUCAGCCACACUGGGACUGAGACACGGCCCAGACUCCUACGGGAGGCAGCAGUGGGGAAUAUUGGACAAUGGGCGAAGGCAUGAUGCAGCUAUGCCGCGUGAGUGAUGAAGGCCGUAGGGUUGUAAAGCUCUUUUACCCGGGAUGAUAAUGACAGUACCGGGAGAAUAAGCUCCGGCUAACUCCGUG
rnacentral:rRNA from 1 species